UGGGAAAUCUGCCGAGAAGUGGGGGAUAGCUCGCCGAAAGGCGAAUUAAUACCGCAUGUGGUCAGUGAGGACAUCCUCGCGAAACCAAAGCCGGGGCAACCUGGCGCUUCUUGAUGAUCCCGCGGCCUAUCAGCUAGUUGGCGGGGUAAAAGCCCACCAAGGCUAUGACGGGUAGCUGGUCUGAGAGGACGACCAGCCACACUGGAACUGAGACACGGUCCAGACACCUACGGGUGGCAGCAGUCGAGAAUUUUUCUCAAUGGGGGAAACCCUGAAGGAGCGACGCCGCGUGAAGGAUGAAGGUCUUCGGAUUGUAAACUUCUGUCAUUAGGGAACAAAUCUUCCAGUUAACUGCUGGAAGUCUGAUAGUACCUGAAGAGGAAGAGACGGCUAACUCUGUGCCAGCAGCCGCGGUAAUACAGAGGUCUCAACCGUUGUUCGGAUUCAUUGGGCGUAAAGGGUGCGUAGGCGGCGGAGUAAGUCAGGUGUGAAAUCUCGGGGCUCAACCCC
rnacentral:rRNA from 1 species